rnacentral:misc_RNA from 1 species
UUCAUCUGGCCACCGAAGAAGCAAUGGCGAUCUACAAGGCCAAGCUCGCGCCGCAGGGUGCGGUGGUGAUGCAUGUCUCCAACCGGCAUCUCGAACUCGCGAGCGUUGUCGUCGGCAUUGCCGAGGAAAAUGAUCUCAAGAGCUGGGUCUUCAAUGAGGAUUCCGGACGUGACGGCGAAUACAUCUUCACGACCAAUGUCGUGAUCUCGGCGCAUGAAGAGGCGGACGUCGGCAAGAUCGCGUCGGACGAGAAGUGGGUGCUGACGGAAGCCACCGAAGGCCAGCGGGGCUGGACCG